rnacentral:lncRNA from 1 species
UGAUUCCUUCUUUAUCCAUUUGAUUGAAAGUUGCUAGUUAGUUGAACCCGCGCGCAAGAUUUAUAUUUGGUCGAUUUUAUAUGUUUUGCUGGACCUUCUCAGACUUGUUUUUGAGGUCCACUAGGUUUUUAGGAGUCCUAUAAAUACUCUGUAAACCUAAAAUUAGGAAUUAUCUUGUUUUUCUAUCUAAUCAAAAGCCACUUUUGGGUGAAAUAUCUAAUCUUGAUCAUAUUCUUUUGUGUUUACUUGAUUGCUUUGAUCAUUAAUCAUGUUUAAACUU